rnacentral:rRNA from 1 species
GGGGACCCUUUGGGGCCUCUUGCCAUCAGAAUGUGCCCCAGAUGGGGAUUUAGCUAGUAAGGUGGGGUAACGGCUCACCUUAGGCGACGAUCCCCUAGCUGGUCUGAGAGGAUGACCAGCCACACUGGAACUGAGACACGGUCCAGACUCCUACGGGAGGCAACAGUGGGGAAAUAUUGCACAAUGGGCGCAAGCCUGAUGCAGCCAUGCCGCGUGUAUGAAGAAGGCCUUCGGGUUGUAAAGUACUUUCAGCGGGGAGGAAGGGGAUGAGGUUAAUAAACCUCACUCGAUUGACGUUACCCGCAGAAGAAGCACCGGCUAACUCCGUGCCAGCAGCCGCGGUAAUACGGAGGGUGCAAGCGUUAAUCGGAAUUACUGGGCGUAAAGCGCACGCAGGCGGUCUGUCAAGUCGGAUGUGAAAUCCCCGGGCUCAACCUGGGAACUGCAUUCGAAACUGGCAGGCUAGAGUCUUGUAGAGGGGGGUAGAAUUCCAGGUGUAGCGGUGAAAUGCGUAGAGAUCUGGAGGAAUACCGGGUGGCGAAGGCGGCCCCCUGGACAAAGACUGACGCUCAGGUGCGAAAGCGUGGGGAGCAAACCMGKAUUAGAUACCCUGGUAGUCCACGCCGUAACRAUGUYKAUYUUCAUGGAGGUUGUGCCCUUGAGGCGUGGCUUCCGGAGCUAACGCGUUAAKUCGWCACGCCCYGGGGAGUACGGCCGCAAGGUUAAAACUCAAAUGAAUUGACGGGGGCCCGCACAAGCGGUGGAGCAUGUGGUUUAAUUCGAUGCAACGCGAAGAACCUUACCUACUCUUGACAUCCAGAGAACUUUCCAGAGAUGGAUUGGUGCCUUCGGGAACUCUGAGACAGGUGCUGCAUGGCUGUCGUCAGCUCGUGUUGUGAAAUGUUGGGUUAAGUCCCGCAACGAGCGCAACCCUUAUCCUUUGUUGCCAGCGGUCCGGCCGGGAACUCAAAGGAGACUGCCAGUGAUAAACUGGAGGAAGGUGGGGAUGACGUCAAGUCAUCAUGGCCCUUACGAGUAGGGCUACACACGUGCUACAAUGGCGCAUACAAAGAGAAGCGACCUCGCGAGAGCAAGCGGACCUCAUAAAGUGCGUCGUAAUUCCGGAUUGGAGUCUGCAACUCGACUCCAUGAAAGUCGGAAAUCGCUAGGUAAAUCGUAGAUCAGAAUGCUACGGUGAAAUACGUUCCCCGGGCCCUUGUUACACACCCGCUCCGUCAUC